CCUACGGGCGGCAGCAGUGGGGAAUAUUGCACAAUGGGGGCAACCCUGAUGCAGCGACGCCGCGUGAAGGAAGCAGUCUUUCUGUAUGUAAACUUCUAUCAGCAGGGAAGAAAAUGACGGUACCUGACUCAGACUCCCCGGCUAACUACGUGCCAGCAGCCGCGGUAAUACGUAGGGGACAAGCGUUAUCCGGCUUUACUGGGUGUAAAGGGGGCGUAGGCGGUGAUGAAAGUCAGAAGUGAAAGCCCGCAGCUCAACUGCGGGAUGGCUGUUGAAACUGUAUGACUAGAUUGCAGGAGAGGUAAGUGGAAUUCCUAGUGUAGCGGUGAAAUGCGUAGAUAUUAGGAGGAACACCAGUGGCGAAGGCGGCUUACUGGACUGUAAAUGACGCUGAGGCUCGAAAGCGUGGGGAGCAAACAGGAUUAGAUACCCUAGUAGUC
rnacentral:rRNA from 1 species